GGCCCUCCCUACAAUUUCAGAAACCCGAUGUGGCCCUCGGGCCAAAAAGUUUGCCCGCCCCUGCUUUAUCACGUGGUGCUGAAAAGAUCACAUGGAGAGGGGGGAGUUAGCUGUGCAGGGCUCUGGAGGAAUUACAGUGCACUGACGUGAUCACCGUGAGUCUGAAUCUGCAAUGGCGUUUGUAACGGAAGAACAGAUCCAACAGUUCCAUGAAGAUGGUUUCCUUGUUUUGGAAGAGUUUUUCACCACAGAAGAAUGUGAUGCCAUGAGGGAGCAAAUGCACAAGAUUAUAGCCAAGAUGGAUGUGCCACCCCACUGCCGUACGGAGUUCUCCACCAACGACGAGGAACAGCUCCAGGCACAGGGCAGUGCGGAUUAUUUUCUAACCAGUGGAGACAAGAUCAGAUUCUUCUUUGAGAAAGGAGUUUUUGAUGAGAAAGGUGACUUUCUUGUUCCAAAGGAGAAAUCUAUAAACAAGAUUGGCCAUGCUUUGCAUGCUUACGAUCCCAUCUUCAAGCAAAUCACUCACUCCUCCAAAGUGCAGGAGUUGGGAAGAAAACUGGGCUUUGAGAAACCAGUGGUUGUCCAGAGCAUGUAUAUCUUCAAGCAACCUGGCAUUGGUGGUGAAGUGAGACCACACCAGGAUGCCACAUUUCUGUACACAGAGCCGCUGGGCAGGGUUCUGGGCCUCUGGAUAGCUCUGGAGAAUGCCACGCAGGAGAACAGCUGUCUAUGGUUCAUCCCUGGCUCUCACACCAUUUUGUCUACUGUGGGAUUGCAGAUGGCAUCACACGUAGAAUGGUCCGAGCCCCGCCAGGAACCAUACCAUGCACACAGUUCAUCGGCUCUGAGCGAACUUAUCAAGAUAGCCAGUUUAUUCCUGUGCCCAUCCGCAAAGGUGGCCUCAUUCUUAUCCAUGGAGAAGUUGUCCAUAAGAGUGAGUUGAACAGCUCAGAGUGGUCCCGCCAUGUGUACACUUUCCAUCUGAUGGAGACCAAAGACACCAGCUGGAGCAAAGAGAACUGGCUUCAGCCAACUCCUGAAUUGCCUUUUCCACCUCUCUACACCUAAAGCUAACAUUAGCCAUUGGAGUCAAAUGGUUGAUCACUGAGUAGACUCCAUUAAUCUUUCUCAGCCAUCUGCUGCUGUUCUCUUCAGAUACAACUUCACCCACUGCUCAUCUCCCAAUAUUCGUGUGUCCUCUGCCCAGGAGUAGCUUCAGCCGGUGUGCAUGACAGAAGAAUCUUCAUCCACACCUGUCCAGCGCUGGCCUGACUGAGAGCAUCUGUGUUACGUGUACCCUACUCAUAGUGAGAACAGUCACCUAAAAACUCCUUUUGAUGGGGAAAUCUCUUUAGUCAUAUGAACUCACUAUGAAGUGGCCACUGUACCUCAAUUGUGGGACCCGCUGAGAGGCACCUCCUUUUCAGGAUACUCAAAAUCUCAGUAUUUUCCCCUUGUACAACCCAAGCCAGGAAAAUUUCUAUUCUGUUUAUUCCAUCGCUGUUGUAUUACCCUCAGGUGUACAGAGUCUUUUGGAGGUUAUGUAGAGGGGUUUGUUGUACCACAAAAAAGUUAAAACCUACCCUGCUGAAACAGCAAUAGAGUAAAAGAAAAGUCUUGAAUGGGCAGACCAAAGCAGGGAGCCUAAAUUUCUUAUUUUUCCUGUUAAAAUGCUAAGUAAGAGUUACUGGGGAAUGGUAUGUGAGGAGAUAAGACAAUCCCUAGACUUGUAAACCUUUGCUGCAUACAUUUUCAAGGAGAACUGAGUGACUUUUGAUGCCUAUUGAAGUUAAUGAGAGGUGGGAAUAUCAAGAAUAAAAAUAAUACAAACAUAAUUUCUCUGUCUGAAGAUGACAGUCCCUGAAACCUCCAAAAAGUGUUAGACUACAACACAUAAGGGUAAAGACAUACAGUGAUUAUGCUUUUAACUCCCAGCAUGCAGAACAGAUGCUAGCAAAGAGCACAUAACUUCACCCUUCUAGGAAGUAUCAUUGAUGUAAUGCAGCCCACAUAUCUGAAUAUUCUAAAUAACCUCAUUUAAAUAAAGUGACAAAGUCCA